GUGUGCUCUACGGAGCUGGCAGACAGAAAGUAUGAAAAGGGGGCUCAUAAGUUGGUGAUUAUUGAGGGAGACUUGGAAUGCACAGAGGAAUGUGCUGAGCUGGCAGAGUCCCGUUGCCAAGAGAUGCAUGAGCAGAUCAGACUGAUGGGCCAGAAUGAGGUGUCUGAGUGUCGCUGAAGAAAAGUAUCCUCCAGAAGAAGACAAAUAUGAGGAAGAGAUCAAGAUUCUUACUGAUAAACUCAAGGAUGCAGGGACCCGUGCUGAGCUUGCUGAGAGACCGGUAGCCAUGCUGGGAAAGACACCUGAUGAUUUGGAAGAUGAACUGAAAUGCACUAAAGAGGAACACCCUGUACACAAAGAGGCUGGACCUGCUCUGCUGGACCUGAGUGAGAUGGAGCUACCCAGUCCCGCCCUGCCCUGCUCCUCCCUCUGACCCUGACUCCGCUGAGGCCAGCCGGCUUGAAGUGACCUUUAAACUGAGGUUGAUCUUUAACUGGAAGGCUGCUUUCUCCUUUCACUGCCUCCACCCUUUCCCAACCCAUGUAUCUUUUGUCCAAUUGUCUGUCUCUCAGAGACUUGGAUUGGGCUAGAGGCUGAGCACCUUGGGAAACAACAUUUAAGGGAAUGUGAGCACAAUGCAAAGUGUCUU